UAAUUAAAAUUUUUUCUUGCUCUAGAAACUCAAAGAUUAUUUUGAUGCUUGGUCCUUCUUUCUUGCAUAGGAGAAUGAUUUGGAAAAGCCCUAAAUUUUUAAAUUUCUAUAUGAAACUUUAUCUUCCUUUAUGCCACUUACUUCCGAGGUGCCAUUGGAGAACAAGGACCACAACGAUAGGGUAAAAAUGAAAAGAAAGAUUCAAUUUUGAUGAGAGAGAGGUUUGAAAGAAAUUAUGAUUCGAGAAAAUUAGAAAUAGAAUGAUAAAGCUAUGAAAUAUUUUUACUUCAAAAAUCCAUCCCAGAUAUCGGGGUCGACUCUUAUUAAACUUGAGUCGACUCCUGAUGAGGGGUCGACUCCAGUAAAAUUGGGGGUCGACUCAAAGAAUUUUUUUUUUUGAAACCAUGAAUCGACUCCUUUAGUCUAAGAGUCGACUCCUUAAUACAGAAAACAAUUCAAAAAAUUUUGAUUCAAAGAAAAUAUAGUCAUAUUGAAUUGGAAUCAAUAGUAAAUCAAUUCAAUGAUCCAGAAUGAUAUUUGAAUCAAUUUGGGGAAUCAAGAGCUAAUCAAAUUGGACAAGAUCAAAUCAAGUAAGAUCAAAUCAAAGGAGAUCUAAAUAAUGGCUCUAAGAGUUAGGUUCAACUAGGAGAUUUUCAAAGGUGUAA
rnacentral:lncRNA from 1 species